GACGAACGCUGGCGGCGUGCUUAACACAUGCAAGUCGAACGGUAAGGCCCUUUCGGGGGUACACGAGUGGCGAACGGGUGAGUAACACGUGGGUGAUCUGCCCUGCACUUUGGGAUAAGCCUGGGAAACUGGGUCUAAUACCGGAUAGGACUACGCGAUGCAUGUCGUGUGGUGGAAAGCUUUUGCGGUGUGGGAUGGGCCCGCGGCCUAUCGGCUUGUUGGUGGGGUGAUGGCCUACCAAGGCGACGACGGGUAGCCGGCCUGAGAGGGUGUCCGGCCACACUGGGACUGAGAUACGGCCCAGACUCCUACGGGAGGCAGCAGUGGGGAAUAUUGCACAAUGGGCGCAAGCCUGAUGCAGCGACGCCGCGUGGGGGAUGACGGCCUUCGGGUUGUAAACCCCUUUCAGCACAGACGAAGCGUAAGUGACGGUAUGUGCAGAAGAAGCACCGGCCAACUACGUG
rnacentral:rRNA from 1 species